UAACAGAAUAGGAUAUGCCCAAGUCUCA
rnacentral:piRNA from 1 species